rnacentral:rRNA from 1 species
AGCUAGGAAUCUUGGGAAUGGGCGAAAGCCUGACCCAGCAACGCCGCGUGGGCGAUGAAGGCCUUCGGGUCGUAAAGCCCUUUUGCGGGGGAAGAUUAUGACGGUACCCCGCGAAUAAGCCACGGCUAACUACGUGCCAGCAGCCGCGGUAAUACGUAGGUGGCAAGCGUUGUCCGGAUUUACUGGGCGUAAAGGGCGUGCAGGCGGUCUGUUAAGUCUAGGGUGAAAGCUCCCGGCUCAACUGGGAGAGGUCCUUGGAUACUGGCAGACUUGAGGAGGGUAGAGGAGAGUGGAAUUCCCGGUGUAGUGGUGAUAUGCGUAGAUAUCGGGAGGAACACCAGUGGCGAAGGCGGCUCUCUGGGCCCUACCUGACGCUGAGACGCGAAAGCGUGGGGAGCGAA